GCCUGACUACUAUAAAUUAAUUAAUAUAAGACUUUUGUUCUGAAUUAAUUAAAAAUUAAUUAUUUCAUUUAAUGUAUACUACAUAUUUUCAAGUGCUCUCCCUAGUCUGGCACACGGAGGAUUGCCGGUUGCCUCCCUAUUUUUCUACAUCAAGCCUGCAGGGAAUGACAAGAUUUUGAGAAAGUUUUACCCAGUGGAGUAUGGCCCUGUCACAAAUAUUGAUCCAAUUGGAAUUCUCCUGUUAUUGUUAAGAAGGUAUGCAUAUGCCGUAGCAUCAGCUUUCCAUGGUGCGCAGCAUAUUCAUCGUAAGGACUUUAUGGUUCAGCCCCCAUGGGAUACAGAAACUGUGAUUAUAAUAUGAAGGCGAAGUUGCAUUCCCCCACUUUUCUUUUGACUAUGGGAAAUAUAAUUUUUCCAUUUCUCUCUGUGCUUAUGAAGUCUUGGGUGAGCUAACAUAUGGUAAAAUAGGGGAGUGCUGAUUCAAUAAGAGAUCAUAUUUAUGUGGACUUCCACCAAAAAUCUCCCCUUGCCACCUGUAGGGGUCUCCGAAAGUGUGAUGACUCUUGUAAAGAUGGUGAAUGAAGCCACAGCUAACAUUCCCAAUUGGGAAACUGAGUAGAAGUUGAAGGAAGAUUACCAGUUGUGUAGGCUUGCAACACAGAUUGAUGUACACAUACCUCAUAUUAGCUUAUUUUACGUUAAGAUAAAUAGCGACUAAUAAUAAUAUAUUAGAAAGCAAAUUGUUUUUCUUUUUCAUUUCUUAUUUUUUAUUAUAAGAUUUCCAGAAUUCAUAGUCUUCAUACAUGGCUUUCUAUAUGCUUAGUUAUAUUUAUUUCUAAA